GAACGCUAGCUACAGGCUUAACACAUGCAAGUCGAGGGGCAGCAUUUCAGUUUGCUUGCAAACUGGAGAUGGCGACCGGCGCACGGGUGAGUAACACGUAUCCAACCUGCCGAUAACUCGGGGAUAGCCUUUCGAAAGAAAGAUUAAUACCCGAUGGUAUAAUCAGACCGCAUGGUCUUGUUAUUAAAGAAUUUCGGUUAUCGAUGGGGAUGCGUUCCAUUAGGCAGUUGGUGAGGUAACGGCUCACCAAACCUUCGAUGGAUAGGGGUUCUGAGAGGAAGGUCCCCCACAUUGGAACUGAGACACGGUCCAAACUCCUACGGGAGGCAGCAGUGAGGAAUAUUGGUCAAUGGGCGCAGGCCUGAACCAGCCAAGUAGCGUGAAGGAUGACUGCCCUAUGGGUUGUAAACUUCUUUUAUAUGGGAAUAAAGUUUUCCACGUGUGGAAUUUUGUAUGUACCAUAUGAAUAAGGAUCGGCUAACUCCGUGCCAGCAGCCGCGGUAAUACGGAGGAUCCGAGCGUUAUCCGGAUUUAUUGGGUUUAAAGGGAGCGUAGGUGGACAGUUAAGUCAGUUGUGAAAGUUUGCGGCUCAACCGUAAAAUUGCAGUUGAUACUGGCUGUCUUGAGUACAGUAGAGGUGGGCGGAAUUCGUGGUGUAGCGGUGAAAUGCUUAGAUAUCACGAAGAACUCCGAUUGCGAAGGCAGCUCACUGGACUGCAACUGACACUGAUGCUCGAAAGUGUGGGUAUCAAACAGGAUUAGAUACCCUGGUAGUCCACACAGUAAACGAUGAAUACUCGCUGUUUGCGAUAUACAGUAAGCGGCCAAGCGAAAGCAUUAAGUAUUCCACCUGGGGAGUACGCCGGCAACGGUGAAACUCAAAGGAAUUGACGGGGGCCCGCACAAGCGGAGGAACAUGUGGUUUAAUUCGAUGAUACGCGAGGAACCUUACCCGGGCUUAAAUUGCAUUUGAAUAUAUUGGAAACAGUAUAGCCGUAAGGCAAAUGUGAAGGUGCUGCAUGGUUGUCGUCAGCUCGUGCCGUGAGGUGUCGGCUUAAGUGCCAUAACGAGCGCAACCCUUAUCUUUAGUUACUAACAGGUCAUGCUGAGGACUCUAGAGAGACUGCCGUCGUAAGAUGUGAGGAAGGUGGGGAUGACGUCAAAUCAGCACGGCCCUUACGUCCGGGGCUACACACGUGUUACAAUGGGGGGUACAGAAGGCAGCUACCUGGUGACAGGAUGCUAAUCCCAAAAGCCUCUCUCAGUUCGGAUCGAAGUCUGCAACCCGACUUCGUGAAGCUGGAUUCGCUAGUAAUCGCGCAUCAGCCAUGGCGCGGUGAAUACGUUCCCGGGCCUUGUACACACCGCCCGUCAAGCCAUGAAAGCCGGGGGUACC
rnacentral:rRNA from 1 species